rnacentral:rRNA from 1 species
UUCCGGUUGAUCCUGCCGGACCCCACUGCUAUCGGGAUAGGACUAAGACAUGCUAGUUGAGCGCUUCCAGCCAACACGGGAGCGCAGCGCACAGCUCAGUAACACGUGGCUAAUCUGCCCUUGGGACCGGAACACCCCCGGGAAACUGGGGCUAAUUCUCGAUAGGUGAAGAACUCUGGAAUGAGUCUUUGCCAAAAAGACGUUUACGUUAUGCUCGUAGGCGUCGCCCAAGGAUGAGGCCGCGACCGAUCAGGUUGUUGGUGAGGUAAUGGCUCACCAAGCCUUUUACCGGUGCGGGCCGUGAGAGCGGGAGCCCGGAGAUGGGCACUGAGACAAGGGCCCAGGCCCUACGGGGCGCAGCAGUCGCGAAAACUUUGCAAUGCACGAAAGUGUGACAGGGCUAUCCCGAGUGCCAUCCGCUGAGGAAGGCUUUUACCCAGUCUAGAACGCUGGGGGAAUAAGGAGAGGGCAAGUCUGGUGUCAGCCGCCGCGGUAAUACCAGCUCUCCGAGUGGUGUGGAUGUUUAUUGGGCCUAAAGCAUCCGUAGCUGGCUAAGUUAGUCCUUUGUUAAAUCCACCGAAUUAAUCGUUGGAUUGCGGGGGAUACUGCUUGGCUAGGGGACGAGAGAGGCAGACGGUAUUUCCGGGGUAGGGGUGAAAUCCUAUAAUCCCGGGAAGACCACCAGUGGCGAAGGCUGUCUGCUAGAACGCGCCCGACGGUGAGGGAUGAAAGCUGGGGGAGCGAACCGGAUUAGAUACCCGGGUAGUCCCAGCUGUAAACGAUGCAGGCUAGGUGUUUGGACGGCCACGUGCCGUUCUAGUGCCGCAGGGAAGCUGUUAAGCCUGCCGCCUGGGGAGUACGAUCGCAAGAUUGAAACUUAAAGGAAUUGGCGGGGGAGCACCACAAGGGGUGAAGCUUGCGGUUUAAUUGGAGUCAACGCCGGG